UAUUGGCCCCAUAUCACCCCCAUAGACUCCUCAAAGCAUCCCCAUAGAGUCCCCAUAGCGACCCCAUAUUGGCCCUACAGCACCCCCAGAGAGUCCUCAAAGCAUCCCCAUGGUGUCCCCAUAGAGUCCCCAUAGAAUCCCUAUGGUUGUCUACAUGGUGACCCCACAGCAACCCCAUAGCGACCCCAUAUUGGCCCCAUAGCGUCCCCAUAGAGUCCUCAAAGCAUCCCCAUGGUGUCCCCAUAGUGGCCCCAUAGAGUCCCCUUGGUAUCCCCAUACAGUCCCCAUAGUGACCCAUAGAGUCCCCACAGAGUCCCCAUGGUUGUCUAAAUGGUGACCCCAUAGUGAUCCCAAAGCGUCCCCAUAAUGUCCCCAUGCUGUCCCCAUAGUGACCCCAUGCCGUCCCCCCGCCCCCCCACUCACCGGCGAGCAGCGGCUGGGCGCAGCCGGCAGGAUGGGCCGCGCGAAGCGGCGCUGGGAGCCGACGGCGGCGGGGAACGGCGGCGAGGAGAGCAGGGCGGCCGCCAGGUUGAGGCGGGAGAUCCAGGCCGUCAUGUCCGCCUCGCUCCUGGGGGGGCACGGCUCAGCGCCCGCGGCCCCACACAGCCCCACGGCCGCCAUCUUGGGCCCCACCUUGCCAGUGGCGGCCAUCUUGCCCCCCCACCACCUCGCCCCAUGGCAGCCAUCUUGCCCCACAGUGGCCAUCUUGCCCCCCCACCAGCUUGCCCCCAUGGCAGCCAUCUUGCCCCCCAGCUUGCCCCCAUGGCGGCCGUCUUGCCCCACAGCAGCCAUCU
rnacentral:lncRNA from 1 species